rnacentral:rRNA from 1 species
UUAAGCGACUAAGCGUACACGGUGGAUGCCCUGGCAGUCAGAGGCGAUGAAGGACGUGCUAAUCUGCGAUAAGCGUCGGUAAGGUGAUAUGAACCGUUAUAACCGGCGAUUUCCGAAUGGGGAAACCCAGUGUGUUUCGACACACUAUCAUUAACUGAAUCCAUAGGUUAAUGAGGCGAACCGGGGGAACUGAAACAUCUAAGUACCCCGAGGAAAAGAAAUCAACCGAGAUUCCCCCAGUAGCGGCGAGCGAACGGGGAGCAGCCCAGAGCCUGAAUCAGUGUGUGUGUUAGUGGAAGCGUCUGGAAAGGCGUGCGAUACAGGGUGACAGCCCCGUACACAAAAAUGCACAUGCUGUGAGCUCGAUGAGUAGGGCGGGACACGUGGUAUCCUGUCUGAAUAUGGGGGGACCAUCCUCCAAGGCUAAAUACUCCUGACUGACCGAUAGUGAACCAGUACCGUGAGGGAAAGGCGAAAAGAACCCCGGCGAGGGGAGUGAAAAAGAACCUGAAACCGUGUACGUACAAGCAGUGGGAGCACGCUUAGGCGUGUGACUGCGUACCUUUUGUAUAAUGGGUCAGCGACUUAUAUUCUGUAGCAAGGUUAACCGAAUAGGGGAGCCGAAGGGAAACCGAGUCUUAACUGGGCGUUAAGUUGCAGGGUAUAGACCCGAAACCCGGUGAUCUAGCCAUGGGCAGGUUGAAGGUUGGGUAACACUAACUGGAGGACCGAACCGACUAAUGUUGAAAAAUUAGCGGAUGACUUGUGGCUGGGGGUGAAAGGCCAAUCAAACCGGGAGAUAGCUGGUUCUCCCCGAAAGCUAUUUAGGUAGCGCCUCGUGAAUUCAUCUCCGGGGGUAGAGCACUGUUUCGGCAAGGGGGUCAUCCCGACUUACCAACCCGAUGCAAACUGCGAAUACCGGAGAAUGUUAUCACGGGAGACACACGGCGGGUGCUAACGUCCGUCGUGAAGAGGGAAACAACCCAGACCGCCAGCUAAGGUCCCAAAGUCAUGGUUAAGUGGGAAACGAUGUGGGAAGGCCCAGACAGCCAGGAUGUUGGCUUAGAAGCAGCCAUCAUUUAAAGAAAGCGUAAUAGCUCACUGGUCGAGUCGGCCUGCGCGGAAGAUGUAACGGGGCUAAACCAUGCACCGAAGCUGCGGCAGCGACACUAUGUGUUGUUGGGUAGGGGAGCGUUCUGUAAGCCUGUGAAGGUGUGCUGUGAGGCAUGCUGGAGGUAUCAGAAGUGCGAAUGCUGACAUAAGUAACGAUAAAGCGGGUGAAAAGCCCGCUCGCCGGAAGACCAAGGGUUCCUGUCCAACGUUAAUCGGGGCAGGGUGAGUCGACCCCUAAGGCGAGGCCGAAAGGCGUAGUCGAUGGGAAACAGGUUAAUAUUCCUGUACUUGGUGUUACUGCGAAGGGGGGACGGAGAAGGCUAUGUUGGCCGGGCGACGGUUGUCCCGGUUUAAGCGUGUAGGCUGGUUUUCCAGGCAAAUCCGGAAAAUCAAGGCUGAGGCGUGAUGACGAGGCACUACGGUGCUGAAGCAACAAAUGCCCUGCUUCCAGGAAAAGCCUCUAAGCAUCAGGUAACAUCAAAUCGUACCCCAAACCGACACAGGUGGUCAGGUAGAGAAUACCAAGGCGCUUGAGAGAACUCGGGUGAAGGAACUAGGCAAAAUGGUGCCGUAACUUCGGGAGAAGGCACGCUGAUAUGUAGGUGAAGCGACUUGCUCGUGGAGCUGAAAUCAGUCGAAGAUACCAGCUGGCUGCAACUGUUUAUUAAAAACACAGCACUGUGCAAACACGAAAGUGGACGUAUACGGUGUGACGCCUGCCCGGUGCCGGAAGGUUAAUUGAUGGGGUCAGCGCAAGCGAAGCUCUUGAUCGAAGCCCCGGUAAACGGCGGCCGUAACUAUAACGGUCCUAAGGUAGCGAAAUUCCUUGUCGGGUAAGUUCCGACCUGCACGAAUGGCGUAAUGAUGGCCAGGCUGUCUCCACCCGAGACUCAGUGAAAUUGAACUCGCUGUGAAGAUGCAGUGUACCCGCGGCAAGACGGAAAGACCCCGUGAACCUUUACUAUAGCUUGACACUGAACAUUGAGCCUUGAUGUGUAGGAUAGGUGGGAGGCUUGGAAGUGUGGACGCCAGUCUGCAUGGAGCCGACCUUGAAAUACCACCCUUUAAUGUUUGAUGUUCUAACGUUGACCCGUAAUCCGGGUUGCGGACAGUGUCUGGUGGGUAGUUUGACUGGGGCGGUCUCCUCCUAAAGAGUAACGGAGGAGCACGAAGGUUGGCUAAUCCUGGUCGGACAUCAGGAGGUUAGUGCAAUGGCAUAAGCCAGCUUGACUGCGAGCGUGACGGCGCGAGCAGGUGCGAAAGCAGGUCAUAGUGAUCCGGUGGUUCUGAAUGGAAGGGCCAUCGCUCAACGGAUAAAAGGUACUCCGGGGAUAACAGGCUGAUACCGCCCAAGAGUUCAUAUCGACGGCGGUGUUUGGCACCUCGAUGUCGGCUCAUCACAUCCUGGGGCUGAAGUAGGUCCCAAGGGUAUGGCUGUUCGCCAUUUAAAGUGGUACGCGAGCUGGGUUUAGAACGUCGUGAGACAGUUCGGUCCCUAUCUGCCGUGGGCGCUGGAGAACUGAGGGGGGCUGCUCCUAGUACGAGAGGACCGGAGUGGACGCAUCACUGGUGUUCGGGUUGUCAUGCCAAUGGCACUGCCCGGUAGCUAAAUGCGGAAGAGAUAAGUGCUGAAAGCAUCUAAGCACGAAACUUGCCCCGAGAUGAGUUCUCCCUGACCCUUUAAGGGUCCUGAAGGAACGUUGAAGACGACGACGUUGAUAGGCCGGGUGUGUAAGCGCAGCGAUGCGUUGAGCUAACCGGUACUAAUGAACCGUGAGGCUUAACCUU